AUUGUAGUCAUAUGCUUGUCUCAGAGAUUAAGCCAUGCAUGUCUAAGUAUAAGCUAUCUUAUACAGCGAAACUGCGAAUGGCUCAUUAAAUCAGUUAUAGUCUACUUGAUCGUAUCUUCUUACAUGGAUAACCGCAGUAAAUCUAGAGCUAAUACAUGCUAAAAAUCCUGGACGCGGCAACGCGGAAGGGACGAGUUUAUUAGAUUAAAAACCGACACCUCUCCGCGAGGGGAGGUAGCACAGGUGAUUCACAGUAACCGAUCGGAUCGUCGGCCCCGCCGACGACGAUGCAUACGAGUUUCUGCCCUAUCAACUUUAGAUGGUAGAGUAUCGGUCUACCAUGGUCGUAACGGGUGACGGGGGAUUAGGGUUCGAUUCCGGAGAGGGAGCCUGAGAAACGGCUACCACUUCCAAGGAAGGCAGCAGGCGCGCAAAUUACCCAAUCCCGACACGGGGAGGUAGUGACAAGAAAUACCAUUGUAAUGUCUCCUCGAGAGGCUUACGAUUGGAAUGAGUACAAUUUAAAUCCCUUAACGAGUAACGAUUGGAGGGCAAGUCUGGUGCCAGCAGCCAAUCUCUAGAGGAUCCC
rnacentral:rRNA from 1 species